rnacentral:rRNA from 1 species
AGAGUUUGAUCCUGGCUCAGGAUGAACGCUAGCGGCAGGCUUAAUACAUGCAAGUCGAGGGGCAGCACGAGUAGCAAUACUUGGUGGCGACCGGCAAACGGGUGCGGAACACGUACAGAACCUUCCUUUAAGUGGGGAAUAGCCCAGAGAAAUUUGGAUUAAUACCCCGUAACAUUAUUGAUGUGGCAUCACAUUAUAAUUAUAGAUUUAUCGCUUAGAGAUGGCUGUGCGGCUGAUUAGAUAGUUGGUGAGGUAACGGCUCACCAAGUCUGCGAUCAGUAACUGGUGUGAGAGCACGACCAGUCACACGGGCACUGAGACACGGGCCCGACUCCUACGGGAGGCAGCAGUAAGGAAUAUUGGUCAAUGGACGAAAGUCUGAACCAGCCAUGCCGCGUGAAGGAUGAAGGUCCUCUGGAUUGUAAACUUCUUUUAUCUGGGACGAAACACUCUUAUUCUUAAGAGCUUGACGGUACCAGAGGAAUAAGCACCGGCUAACUCCGUGCCAGCAGCCGCGGUAAUACGGAGGGUGCAAGCGUUAUCCGGAUUCACUGGGUUUAAAGGGUGCGUAGGUGGGUCUGUAAGUCAGUGGUGAAAUCUCCGAGCUUAACUCGGAAACUGCCAUUGAUACUAUAGGUCUUGAAUUUUCUGGAGGUAAGCGGAAUAUGUCAUGUAGCGGUGAAAUGCUUAGAUAUGACAUAGAACACCAAUUGCGAAGGCAGCUUACUACAGGAACAUUGACACUGAGGCACGAAAGCGUGGGGAUCAAACAGGAUUAGAUACCCCCGUAGUCC